CAAAUUUCUGGGGCACCAAUACUAUCACUGGGAGGAACAAAGUAAAUGCCAUGAAAAUGAAGAAGACUCCAGUCGCCAUGAAUAGGCCAAAAUACAUGAGAGCUUUUCCAGAAGGUAUGUUGCUAGUGGCAGACUGAAAGUUCCCUGGAAUGUCUCUCACUCCUUUGGAAACCCUGAAUAAGGAUCCACAAACCACUAUUCUCAGCAAAACAUUACUCAAAUAACUC
rnacentral:lncRNA from 1 species